rnacentral:rRNA from 1 species
AAUGAACGCUGGCGGCGUGCUUAACACAUGCAAGUCGUACGAGAACUCUUUAGCUUGCUAAAGAUAGUAAAGUGGCGCACGGGUGAGUAACGCGUGGGUAAUCUACCUCUGAAUCUGGGAUAACAUUGCGAAAGCGAUGCUAAUACCGGAUAAUAUCUUAAAAUCGUCAGGUUUUGAGAUCAAAAAUGGCCUCUACAUGUAAGCUGUUGUUUGGAGAUGAGCCCGCGUACCAUUAGCUUGUUGGUAGGGUAAUGGCCUACCAAGGCAACGAUGGUUAGCUGGUCUGAGAGGAUGAUCAGCCACACUGGAACUGGCACACGGUCCAGACUCCUACGGGAGGCAGCAGUGAGGAAUUUUGCGCAAUGGGGGAAACCCUGACGCAGCAACGCCGCGUGAGUGAUGAAGGCCCUCGGGUCGUAAAGCUCUAUCAAGUGGGAAGAAAAUGUAAAAUGUUAAUACCAUUUUUCACUGACGGUACCACUGAAGGAAGCACCGGCUAACUCCGUGCCAGCAGCCGCGGUAAUACGGAGGGUGCAAGCGUUAUUCGGAAUUAUUGGGCGUAAAGGGCGCGUAGGCGGCCUUUUAAGUCAGAUGUGAAGGCCCGGGGCUUAACCCCGGAAGUACAUUUGAAACUAAAGGGCUUGAGUAUGGGAGAGGGAAGUGGAAUUCCUGGUGUAGCGGUGAAAUGCGUAGAUAUCAGGAGGAACACCGGUGGCGAAGGCGACUUCCUGGACCAAUACUGACGCUAAGGCGCGAAGGCGUGGGUAGCAAACAGGAUUAGAUACCCUGGUAGUCCACGCAGUAAACGGUGAACACUAGGUGUAGCGGGUAUUGACCCCUGCUGUGCCGCAGCUAACGCAUUAAGUGUUCCGCCUGGGGAGUACGGUCGCAAGAUUAAAACUCAAAGGAAUUGACGG